GUCUUCGUGGUAUAGUGGCCAGUAUGCUCGGCACGUAUCCGGAAGUUCCGUGGUUCGAAUCCCGGCGAGGGCA
rnacentral:tRNA from 1 species